rnacentral:rRNA from 1 species
UAUCCUGGCUCAGAUUGAACGCUGGCGGCAGGCCUAACACAUGCAAGUCGAGCGGUAGAGAGAAGCUUGCUUCUCUUGAGAGCGGCGGACGGGUGAGUAAUGCCUAGGAAUCUGCCUGGUAGUGGGGGAUAACGUUCGGAAACGGACGCUAAUACCGCAUACGUCCUACGGGAGAAAGCAGGGGACCUUCGGGCCUUGCGCUAUCAGAUGAGCCUAGGUCGGAUUAGCUAGUUGGUGGGGUAAUGGCUCACCAAGGCGACGAUCCGUAACUGGUCUGAGAGGAUGAUCAGUCACACUGGAACUGAGACACGGUCCAGACUCCUACGGGAGGCAGCAGUGGGGAAUAUUGGACAAUGGGCGAAAGCCUGAUCCAGCCAUGCCGCGUGUGUGAAGAAGGUCUUCGGAUUGUAAAGCACUUUAAGUUGGGAGGAAGGGCAGUAAAUUAAUACUUUGCUGUUUUGACGUUACCGACAGAAUAAGCACCGGCUAACUCUGUG